rnacentral:rRNA from 1 species
AACGAACGCUGGCGGCAGGCUUAACACAUGCAAGUCGAACGGGUGUCGCAAGACAUCAGUGGCAGACGGGUGAGUAACACGUGGGAACCUUCCUAGGGGUACGGAACAACUCAGGGAAACUUGAGCUAAUACCGUAUACGUCCGUGAGGAGAAAGAUUUAUCGCCCUUAGACGGGCCCGCGUCGGAUUAGCUAGUUGGUGGGUAACGGCCGUACCAAGGCGACGAUCCGUAGCUGAUCUGAGAGGAUGAUCAGCCACACUGGGACGUGAGAUACGGCCCAGACUCCUACGGGAGGCAGCAGUGGGGAAGUCUUGGACAAUGGGCGGCAAGCCUGAUCCAGCCAUGCCGCGUGAGUGAAGAAGGCCUUA